GGCGUUAAGUUGCAGGGUAUAGACCCGAAACCCGGUGAUCUAGCCAUGGGCAGGUUGAAGGUUGGGUAACACUAACUGGAGGACCGAACCGACUAAUGUUGAAAAAUUAGCGGAUGACCUGUGGCUGGGGGUGAAAGGCCAAUCAAACCGGGAGAUAGCUGGUUCUCCCCGAAAGCUAUUUAGGUAGCGCCUCGUGAAUUCAUCUCCGGGGGUAGAGCACUGUUUCGGCUAGGGGGCCAUCCCGGCUUACCAACCCGAUGCAAACUGCGAAUACCGGAGAAUGUUAUCACGGGAGACACACGGCGGGUGCUAACGUCCGUCGUGAAGAGGGAAACAACCCAGACCGCCAGCUAAGGUCCCAAAGUCAUGGUUAAGUGGGAAACGAUGUGGGAAGGCCCAGACAGCCAGGAUGUUGGCUUAGAAGCAGCCAUCAUUUAAAGAAAGCGUAAUAGCUCACUGGUCGAGUCGGCCUGCGCGGAAGAUGUAACGGGGCUAAACCAUGCACCGAAGCUGCGGCAGCGACACUGUGUGUUGUUGGGUAGGGGAGCGUUCUGUAAGCCUGUGAAGGUGGCCUGUGAGGGUUGCUGGAGGUAUCAGAAGUGCGAAUGCUGACAUAAGUAACGAUAAAGCGGGUGAAAAGCCCGCUCGCCGGAAGACCAAGGGUUCCUGUCCAACGUUAAUCGGGGCAGGGUGAGUCGACCCCUAAGGCGAGGCCGAAAGGCGUAGUCGAUGGGAAACGGGUUAAUAUUCCCGUACUUGGUGUUACUGCGAAGGGGGGACGGAGAAGGCUAUGUUGGCCGGGCGACGGUU
rnacentral:rRNA from 1 species